CUACGUGCCAGCAGCCGCGGUAAUACGGGGGGUGCGAGCGUUAAUCGGAAUAACUGGGCGUAAAGGGCACGCAGGCGGUGACUUAAGUGAGAUGUGAAAGCCCCGAGCUUAACUUGGGAAUUGCAUUUCAUACUGGGUCGCUAGAGUACUUUAGGGAGGGGUAGAAUUCCACGUGUAGCGGUGAAAUGCGUAGAGAUGUGGAGGAAUACCGAAGGCGAAGACAGCCCCUUGGGAAUGUACUGACGCUCAUGUGCGAAAGCGUGGGGAGCAAACAGGAUUAGAUACCCUGGUAGUCCACGCUGUAAACGAUGUCGAUUUGGGGAUUGGGCUUUGAGCUUGGUGCCCGUAGCUAACGUGAUAAAUCGACCGCCUGGGGAGUACGGCCGCAAGGUUAAAACUCAAAUGAAUUGACGGGGGCCCGCACAAGCGGUGGAGCAUGUGGUUUAAUUCGAUGCAACGCGAAGAACCUUACCUACUCUUGACAUCCAGA
rnacentral:rRNA from 1 species